UGGCGGUAUGUCUAAUACAUGCAAGUCGAACGCGAUCUUCGGAUCGAGUGGCGAACGGCUGAGUAACACGUUGGAAGCUGCCCGCACUCGGGGAUAACCCGCCGAAAGGCGUGGCUAAUACCGGAUGGUCCCGAAAGGGUAAAGAUUUUUUCGGUGCGGGAGGCGCCUGCGGCCUAUCAGCUUGUUGGUGAGGUAAAGGCUCACUAAGGCUAUGACGGGUAGCUGGUCUGAGAGGAUGACCAGCCAGAAUGGGACUGAGACACGGCCCAUACUCC
rnacentral:rRNA from 1 species